rnacentral:tRNA from 1 species
GGGCAUAUGGUGUAGCUGGUUAUCACGCCCGCUUAGCAUCACGUUACUGUGAUCUAUCUGCGGGCGGUCCUGGGUUCAACUCCCAGUUUGUCCA